AUAUUUACCUGGCAGGGGAGAUACCCUGAUCACGAAGGGGGUUCUCCCAGGGUGAGGCUCAGCCAUUGCACUCCGGCUGUGCUGACCCCUGCGAUUUCCCCAAAUGUGGGAAAUUCGACUGCAGUAUCUAGACUGACAGUUGGGUUUUGCCCUGCUGG